AGUUUUUGCGCAUGUGUUAAAGGAAUAUUUUUUAUAUGACUCAGGAAAGUGUUAGUUUUCGGGUUAAUUUUAAAAACCUUUAUACGUUCUUUUCUUUUUCUUUCUUUCUUCCCUACUAUUUUUCUUUUCUUUUUUACUUCUAUUUUAUUUUUCCUUUUUACUUACCUCGUGAAUUAUUAUCAAGUCGAAUUGGAAGUUCUACUUUAUCAUUAUGUCGUUUGGAAGGUAAAUUUGUAAGUUUUGUUGUUGGAUUUUGUUAACAUUUGUUGUUUUUUGUCCCUGUCGAAAAUGUGGGUUAUUUGAUUAUCUCUCUCGAAUUCUCAGUUUAUCUGUAUGAUUGGCGUUC
rnacentral:lncRNA from 1 species